rnacentral:rRNA from 1 species
UACGAGGGGGGGCGAGCGUUGUUCGGAAUUAUUGGGCGUAAAGGGUGCGUAGGCGGUUUGGUAAGUCUCUUGUGAAAUCUAUGGGCUCAACUCAUAGUCUGCAAGGGAAACUGCCGGGCUUGAGUGUGGGAGAGGUGAGUGGAAUUUCCGGUGUAGCGGUGAAAUGCGUAGAUAUCGGAAGGAACACCUGUGGCGAAAAGCGGCUCACUGGACCACAACUGACGCUGAUGCACGAAAGCUAGGGGAGCAAACAGG